rnacentral:rRNA from 1 species
GACGAACGCUGGCGGCGUGCCUAAUACAUGCAAGUCGAACGCAGUGGGGACGGGUGAUUAACACGUUGGUAACCUCCCAUCAGAGGGGAUAACACUUGGAAACAGGUGCUAAACCGCUACUGAUGGAUGGACCCGCGGUGCAUUAGCUGGGUGGUGGGGUAACGGCUCACAAAGGCCACGAUGCAUAGCGGACCUGAGAGGGGGAUGGGCCACACUGGGACUGAGAAACGGCCCAGACUCCUACGGGAGGCAGCAGUAGGGAAUCUUCGGCAAUGGACGAAAGUCUGACCGAGAAAGGCCGCGUGAGUGAAGAAGGUUUUCGGAUCGUAAAACUCUGUUGUUAGAGAAGCGGUAUCUAACCAGAAAGCCACGGCUAACUACGUGCCAGCAGCCGCGGUAAUAC